rnacentral:rRNA from 1 species
GCUCGGAAUCACUGGGCGUAAAGGGUGCGUAGGCGGGGCUUUAAGUCAGGGGCGAAAUCCUGGAGCUCAACUCCAGAACUGCCUUUGAUACUGAGGAUCUUGAGUACGGGAGAGGUGAGUGGAACUGCGAGUGUAGAGGUGAAAUUCGUAGAUAUUCGCAAGAACGCCAGUGGCGAAGGCGGCUCACUGGCCCGUUACUGACGCUGAGGCACGAAAGCGUGGGGAGCAAACAGG